GAGUGGCGAACGGGUGAGUAACACGUGGACAACCUGCCUCAAGGCUGGGGAUAACAUUUGGAAACAGAUGCUAAUACCGAAUAAAACUUAGUGUCGCAUGACAAAAAGUUAAAAGGCGCUUCGGCGUCACCUAGAGAUGGAUCCGCGGUGCAUUAGUUAGUUGGUGGGGUAAAGGCCUACCAAGACAAUGAUGCAUAGCCGAGUUGAGAGACUGAUCGGCCACAUUGGGACUGAGACACGGCCCAAACUCCUACGGGAGGCUGCAGUAGGGAAUCUUCCACAAUGGGCGAAAGCCUGAUGGAGCAACGCCGCGUGUGUGAUGAAGGCUUUCGGGUCGUAAAGCACUGUUGUAUGGGAAGAACAGCUAGAAUAGGAAAUGAUUUUAGUUUGACGGUACCAUACCAGAAAGGGACGGCUAAAUACGUGCCAGCAGCCGCGGUAAUACGUAUGUCCCGAGCGUUAUCCGGAUUUAUUGGGCGUAAAGCGAGCGCAGACGGUUUAUUAAGUCUGAUGUGAAAGCCCGGAGCUCAACUCCGGAAUGGCAUUGGAAACUGGUUAACUUGAGUGCAGUAGAGGUAAGUGGAACUCCAUGUGUA
rnacentral:rRNA from 1 species